rnacentral:rRNA from 1 species
UACACUCCUGCGGGAGGCAGCAGUGAGGAAUAUUGGACAAUGGGUGGAAGCCUGAUCCAGCCAUCCCGCGUGCAGGAAGACGGCCCUAUGGGUUGUAAACUGCUUUUAUCUGGGGAUAAACCUACUUACGUGUAAGUAGCUGAAGGUACCAGAAGAAUAAGCACCGGCUAACUCCGUGCCAGCAGCCGCGGUAAUACGGAGGGUGCAAGCGUUAUCCGGAUUUAUUGGGUUUAAAGGGUCCGUAGGCGGACUGAUAAGUCAGUGGUGAAAUCCGACAGCUUAACUGUCGAACUGCCAUUGAUACUGUUAGUCUUGAGUAAGGUUGAAGUGGCUGGAAUAAGUAGUGUAGCGGUGAAAUGCAUAGAUAUUACUUAGAACACCAAUUGCGAAGGCAGGUCACUAAGUCUUAACUGACGCUGAUGGACGAAAGCGUGGGGAGCGAACAGGAUUAGAAACCCCUGUAGUCCCA